CUGCUCUUGUCAGUCAACAUGGAGGCAGAAGAAUCGGAGAAGGCCGCAACAGAACAAAGGCACUGGAAGGGACAAACCAGACACUAGAUGCAGAGGAGGAACAGGAGGAAUCCAAAGAAAAGGCCUGUGGCAACAAGAAGCAGGUAGUGCCAGGUAUUGUGUACCUGGGCCAUAUUCCACCACACUUCCAGCCCCUGCACAUCAGCAACCUUCUUAGCACCUGUGGUGAGGUCAGACGCGUUUUCUUUCAGGCUGAGGACUGGUUCAUGAAAUGUAAGAAGAAGGCAGCAGCAGCCAUGGGAGGGAAAAAAAGCAGUCCUACAGCAAGGACUACAACGAGGGAUGGGUGGAGUUCCGUGACAAGCACAGAGCCAAGAGCGUGGCGGCCAGUCUACACAACACGCCUAUGGGUGCCUGCAGGUGUAGCCCCUUCCAUUAUGACCUAUGGAAUCUGGAGUACUUGCACCAUUUCACCUGGUCCCACCACAGCGAGCGCCAGGUACACAGGCAGACAGCGCCUGAGAGCGGAGGUCCCUCAGGCCAAGUGUGAGACCGUCUUCUAUCUUCAAAGUGUGGAAUGGGGACAACGCUUUUUUGCUGCUGAUGGGGACCUUGUUCACCCAGAUGGCUCCUGGACGUUUGCCCAGCAGCCUACUGAGCAGGAACUGACGGCCCGGAAAGCAGCACAGCCAGGGGGCGUGAAUGGGCUCGCCUGGCAACUGCCCAGGACAAGACCCACUCCAACAAAGCGCUCCUGGCCAGGAUAUUUGGGGCCCCGCCACCCUCAGAGAGCGUGGAAGGACCUUCCCUAGUCAGGGACUCCUGAGGGCGAGGGUGGCCCCUUCCAUCUCCUGGCCCCACUCUGC